rnacentral:rRNA from 1 species
GACGAACGCUGGCGGCGUGCUUAACACAUGCAAGUCGAACGGAAAGGCCCUGCUUUUGUGGGGUGCUCGAGUGGCGAACGGGUGAGUAACACGUGAGUAACCUGCCCUUGACUUUGGGAUAACUUCAGGAAACUGGGGCUAAUACCGGAUAGGAGCUCCUGCUGCAUGGUGGGGGUUGGAAAGUUUCGGCGGUUGGGGAUGGACGCGCGGCUUAUCAGCUUGUUGGUGGGGUAGUGGCUUACCAAGGCUUUGACGGGUAGCCGGCCUGAGAGGGUGACCGGCCACAUGGGGACUGAGAUACGGCCCAGACUCCUACGGGAGGCAGCAGUGGGGAAUAUUGCACAAUGGGCGGAAGCCUGAUGCAGCAACGCCGCGUGCGGGAUGACGGCCUUCGGGUUGUAAACCGCUUUCGCCUGUGACGAAGCGUGAGUGACGGUAAUGGGUAAAGAAGCACCGGCUAACUACGUG